AACGAACGCUGGCAGCAUGCCUAACACAUGCAAGUCGAACGAGAUCUUCGGGUCUAGUGGCGCACGGGUGCGUAACGCGUGGGAAUCUGCCCUUUGGUUCGGAAUAACAGUUGGAAACGACUGCUAAUACCGGAUGAUGACGAAAGUCCAAAGAUUUAUCGCCAGAGGAUGAGCCCGCGUAGGAUUAGCUAGUUGGUGUGGUAAAGGCGCACCAAGGCGACGAUCCUUAGCUGGUCUGAGAGGAUGAUCAGCCACGCUGGGACUGAGACACGGCCCAGACUCCUACGGGAGGCAGCAGUGGGGAAUAUUGGACAAUGGGCGAAAGCCUGAUCCAGCAAUGCCGCGUGAGUGAUGAAGGCCUUAGGGUUGUAAAGCUCUUUUACCCGGGAUGAUAAUGACAGUACCGGGAGAAUAAGCUCCGGCUAACUCCGUGCCAGCCGCCGCAGUAA
rnacentral:rRNA from 1 species